CAGGGCUUAGGAAUAGGGUUAAGGUUAGGAGUGAGGUUAGGGUUAGGGCCAGGGCUAAGGAGUAGGGUUAAGGUUAGGAGUGAGGUUAGGGUUAGGGCCAGGACUUAGGGAUGGAGUGAGGUUAAGGCUAAGGGUUUGGGUUAGGAUUAGGUUAGAUAAGGUUAGGAUUAGGGAUAUAGGUAUGGGUUAUGGUUAGGGUUAGGUUAAGACCCCUAUGUUCCCAUUUAAUCCAUGUGGAAAUUUGGUUGAGAGCUGUCUGAUCCAUUUGUUUUCCGCUCUAAUCCUCUCACUUUUGUUCCAGGUGGUGACUGACUCCAGGCCGGCCAGGCGGAUGGAAUCAGUGCCAUGGGCCAAAAAAUGACGGACAACUGGGGAGGCGAUUAAAUCUAAGUGUGGAGGAGGAGAACUUUGUGAUGAGAGGGAUGAGCUGCUCCUUUCGCUCGGCUCCUGGCUGUAGAAAAGAGCGGAGACAGGCCCUCAGCUUGGUACGCGAGUAUCCUCUACGCCUCAAGGUCCUAAACAACACUCUAGUAGCUUCGUAGAAGUCACAGGGCCUAGUACAGAUCCUGUGAAAUCUAAGAAGCUGGGACUUAACAAUGCCUGCAAAAGUGAAGCGGGGGUGAAAGCUACUCCUGUGUAAAAGUGCAUGUGUGUCUGUAGGUUUGAAAAAUACUUUUACAUCCACCUUAUGGGACUGUACAAAAGAUGGGCCUUUAAAGACUGUAGUGUCCAGGAAAUCUACUGAGUGAUAACUGUGGGUGUGUUUAAUUUUGAUAGAUGGAUCAAAUGUAUUCAAUGUGUUUAAAAAGUCUUGAAAUUCCGAUU